rnacentral:rRNA from 1 species
CUGGGAGUAACUUCGGGAAACCGGGAAGGCUAAUACCGGAUAAUAUUUUGAACCGCAUGGUUCAAAAGUGAAAGACGGUCUUGCUGUCACUUAUAGAUGGAUCCGCGCUGCAUUAGCUAGUUGGUAAGGUAACGGCUUACCAAGGCAACGAUGCAUAGCCGACCUGAGAGGGUGAUCGGCCACACUGGAACUGAGACACGGUCCAGACUCCUACGGGAGGCAGCAGUC